UAUAUCUAUCUGUAGCCAGUCAGUAGACAGUCAGUAGCAGAACAUGAUGGAGGUUAAAGCUCUCUGCACCAGACUGUUGUUGAAGGUGUUGUUGCUGAUGGCUGAACACAUUCACCACAGUUACGCUCAGAAAGGCGAUGCAGCUUUUCUUCGUAUUGUUCCAACCAGACUGCAGUUCUUUGAGUAUGAGACCAUCACUUUUUCUUGUGAGGGG